rnacentral:rRNA from 1 species
UUACUGAGAGAGGGACCUCGCGUCCCCCGGGGGGCUUCGGCCCUCCACCUCUUCAACCCGUGUUUAUAAACCUCUGUUGCUUUGGCGAGCGCCGGGGUGCCUCCCACCUCGGCCCUGACCCUAGGUCGGUGCGUUCUCGCCAGAGCCCCCAACCAUUCUGUUUAUUCAGUGACGUCCGAGUAUGAUCAAAAUUUAAAUCAAAACUUUCAACAACGGAUCUCUUGGUUCUGGCAUCGAUGAAGAACGCAGCGAAAUGCGAUAAGUAAUGUGAAUUGCAGAAUUCAGUGAAUCAUCGAAUCUUUGAACGCACAUUGCGCCCCUUGGUAUUCCGAGGGGCAUGCCUGUUCGAGCGUCAUUGUAACCCUCAAGCUUCGCUUGGUAUUGAGCUUUUCGCCGGAGACGGCGUGCUCGAAAAUUAGUGGCGGUCCAGGGAGACUUCAAGCGCAGUUAAAACUUUCCGCUUUCGAGGCUCUCGCCUGUGACCAGCCGUAAAGCUCCCCCAACUUUUCAAUGAUUGACCUCGGAUCAGGUAGGGAUACCCGCUGAACUUAAGCAUAUCA